rnacentral:misc_RNA from 1 species
AAAGUCGUAACAAGGUCUCCGUUGGUGAACCAGCGGAGGGAUCAUUACAGGACUUCGCAAGAAUCCCGUACAACCACCGUGAACCUACCUCUUCGUUGCCUCGGCGGGCCUCCGGACGGAGCCCGCCGGCGGCCCACUACUCUGCACUACUAUGUCGGCAUCUCAGAAGACACACAAACGAAUCAAAACUUUCAACAACGGAUCUCUUGGUUCUG